UGGAAUGCCACCUCCUUCAAGUGGAACAGUUGGAUUGUCUAUGGUCUUGAACAUCUUUGAUAGCUAUGGAACUUCAGUUGCUGCAAAGGGGAAUCUUGGGGUACAUCGCUUGAUUGAAGCAUUGAAACACAUGUUUGCUGUGCGAAUGAAUUUGGGAGACCCUAAGUUUGUAGACAUUAAGAAAUAUGUAUCCGAAAUGCUUUCUCCAUCUCAUGCCAAGCAAAUUCGGACAAUGAUAGUAGAUGAUACUACUUUUCCUCCAGAAUAUUAUAUGAACAGGUGGAGUCAGCUUAGAGAUCAUGGAACUAGCCAUUUCUGCAUUGUUGAUGC
rnacentral:misc_RNA from 1 species